UGCAAGUCGAGCGGGGUGAUGUAGCUUGCUACAUUACCUAGCGGCGGACGGGUGAGUAAUGCUUAGGAAUCUGCCUAUUAGUGGGGGACAACAUUCCGAAAGGAAUGCUAAUACCGCAUACGCCCUACGGGGGAAAGCAGGGGAUCUUCGGACCUUGCGCUAAUAGAUGAACCUAAGUCAGAUUAGCUAGUUGGUGGGGUAAAGGCCUACCAAGGCGACGAUCUGUAGCGGGUCUGAGAGGAUGAUCCGCCACACUGGGACUGAGACACGGCCCAGACUCCUACGGGAGGCAGCAGUGGGGAAUAUUGGACAAUGGGCGAAAGCCUGAUCCAGCCAUGCCGCGUGUGUGAAGAAGGCCUUUUGGUUGUAAAGCACUUUAAGCGAGGGGGAGGCUACUUAGAUUAAUACUCUAGGAUAGUGGACGUUACUCGCAGAAUAAGCACCGGCUAACUCUGUGCCAGCAGCCGCGGUAAUACAGAGGGUGCGAGCGUUAAUCGGAUUUACUGGGCGUAAAGCGUGCGUAGGCGGCUUCUUAAGUCGGAUGUGAAAUCCCUGAGCUUGACUUAGGAAUUGCAUUCGAUACUGGGAAGCUAGAGUAUGGGAGAGGAUGGUAGAAUUCCAGGUGUAGCGGUGAAAUGCGUAGAGAUCUGGAGGAAUACCGAUGGCGAAGGCAGCCAUCUGGC
rnacentral:rRNA from 1 species